rnacentral:rRNA from 1 species
UACGUAGGGGGCAAGCGUUGUCCGGAAUCAUUGGGCGGAAAGCGCGCGUAGGCGGCCCGGUAAGUCCGUUGUGAAAGUCAAAGGCUCAACCUUUGAACGCCGAUGGAUACUGCCGGGCUAGAGUCCGGAAGAGGCGAGUGGAAUUCCUGGUGUAGCGGUGGAAUGCGCAGAUAUCAGGAGGAACACCAAUAGCGAAGGCAGCUCGCUGGGACGGUACUGACGCUGAGGCGCGAAAGCGUGGGGAGCGAACAGG